rnacentral:rRNA from 1 species
AGAGUUUGAUUAUGGCUCAGAUUGAACGCUGGCGGCAUGCCUUACACAUGCAAGUCGAACGGCAGCGCGGGGCAACCUGGCGGCGAGUGGCGAACGGGUGAGUAAUAUAUCGGAACAUACCCUAGAGUGGGGGAUAACGUAGCGAAAGUUACGCUAAUACCGCAUACGCACUAAGGUGGAAAGUGGGGGAUCGCAAGACCUCAUGCUCAUGGAGUGGCCGAUAUCUGAUUAGCUAGUUGGUGAGGUAAAGGCUCACCAAGGCGACGAUCAGUAGCUGGUCUGAGAGGACGACCAGCCACACUGGAACUGAGACACGGUCCAGACUCCUACGGGAGGCAGCAGUGGGGAAUUUUGGACAAUGGGGGCAACCCUGAUCCAGCAAUGCCGCGUGAGUGAAGAAGGCCUUCGGGUUGUAAAGCUCUUUUGUCAGGGAAGAAACGGUGGUCUCUAAUAUAGGCUGCUAAUGACGGUACCUGAAGAAUAAGCACCGGCUAACUACGUGCCAGCAGCCGCGGUAAUACGUAGGGUGCAAGCGUUAAUCGGAAUUACUGGGCGUAAAGCGUGCGCAGGCGGUUAUAUAAGUCAGAUGUGAAAUCCCCGGGCUCAACCUGGGAACUGCAUUUGAGACUGUAUGGCUAGAGUGUGUCAGAGGGGGGUAGAAUUCCACGUGUAGCAGUGAAAUGCGUAGAUAUGUGGAGGAAUACCGAUGGCGAAAGCAGCCCCCUGGGAUAACACUGACGCUCAUGCACGAAAGCGUGGGGAGCAAACAGGAUUAGAUACCCUGGUAGUCCACGCCCUAAACGAUGUCUACUAGUUGUCGGGUCUUAAUUGACUUGGUAACGCAGCUAACGCGUGAAGUAGACCGCCUGGGAGUACGGUCGCAAGAUUAAAACUCAAGGGAAUUGACGGGACCCGCACAAGCGUGGAUGAUGUGAUUAAUUCGAUGCACGCGAAAACCUUACCUACCUUGA